rnacentral:rRNA from 1 species
UACGGGGGGGAGCAAGCGUUGUUCGGAUUUACUGGGCGUAAAGGGCGCGUAGGCGGUCAGCACAAGUCAGUUGUGAAAUCUCCGGGCUUAACUCGGAAAGGUCAACUGAUACUGUGCGACUAGAGUGCGGAAGGGGCAACUGGAAUUCUCGGUGUAGCGGUGAAAUGCGUAGAUAUCGAGAGGAACACCUGCGGCGAAGGCGGGUUGCUGGGCCGACACGUGACGCUGAUGCGCGAAAGCCAGGGGAGCGAACGGG